GCCUGAGGGCCACACCUGCCUUCUCCUCAAACCUGGCCUUUGGGGGGCCAGAAGGCAUCCCAGUAGUCCCAGGGCUCGGCGAGGGUCAGGGGCAGCCCAGGGUAGCCGAGCAGUUUCCACCCUCCUGGAGCUGGGCUCGGAGGCUGCAGGUCGGCCGAGCGAGACCCUUCCUAAUGGAUCCAGUUCCUGACUAGGACGACGGCAGACACGGAAACCGAGCGCCUGCACCCCGAGGCAAGACGACAGGUGAGACCCGG